UACGAGGGGAGCAAGCGUUGUUCGGAUUUACUGGGCGUAAAGGGCGCGUAGGCGGUCGUGACAAGUCACUUGUGAAAUCUCCGGGCUUAACUCGGAACGGUCAAGUGAUACUGUCGGACUAGAGUACAGAAGGGGCAACUGGAAUUCUCGGGUGUAGCGGUGAAAUGCGUAGAUAUCGAGAGGAACAUCUGCGGCGAAGGCGGGUUGCUGGGCUGAUACUGACGCUGAUGCGGCGAAAGCCAGGGGGAGCGAACGGG
rnacentral:rRNA from 1 species